GAUGAACGCUGGCGGCGUGCCUAAUACAUGCAAGUCGAGCGAACAGACGAGGAGCUUGCUCCUCUGACGUUAGCGGCGGACGGGUGAUUACCACUUGGAUAACCUACCUCUAAGACUGGUGUAAUUUCGGCAAACAGGCGCUAAUACGGGAAAAUUUAUUGACCCGCAAGCUUCACUCGUGAAAUUCGGUUUUUCUUUCACUUAUGGCUGAAUCCGCGCCGCAUUAGUUAGGUGGUAAGGUAACGGCUUAACAACGCAAGGAUGCGUAGCCGACCUGAGAGGGUGGUUGGCCACACGGGAAGUGAGACACGGCCCAGACACCUACGGGAGGCAGCAGUAGGGAAUCUUACGCAAGGCGCGAAAGGCGGACGGAGCAACGCCGCGGGAGUGAUGAAGGUGCCCGGAUCGUAAAACGCUGAUAGUAGGGAAGAACAAAAGCGUAAUUAACUAUGACCGUCAUGACGGUACCGAAUCAAAAAGCCACGGCUAACUACGUG
rnacentral:rRNA from 1 species